rnacentral:rRNA from 1 species
AAGACCUUGCGCUUUUGGAGCGGCCGAUGCCUGAUUAGCUUGUUGGUAAGGUAAAAGCUUACCAAGGCUUCGAUCAGUAGCUGGUCUGAGAGGACGGCCAGCCACACUGGGACUGAGGCGCGGCCCAGACUCCUACGGGAGGCAGCAGUGGGGAAUUUUGGACAAUGGGGGCAACCCUGAUCCAGCCAUGCCGCGUGAGUGAAGAAGGCCUUCGGGUUGUAAAGCUCUUUCAGCCGGAACGAAACGGUUACGGUUAAUACCCGUGAUUACUGACGGUACCGGAAGAAGAAGCACCGGCUAACUACGUGCCAGCAGCCGCGGUAAUACGUAGGGUGCGAGCGUUAAUCGGAAUUACUGGGCGUAAAGCGUGCGCAGGUGGUUUUGUAAGUCAGAUGUGAAAGCCCCGGGCUCAACCUGGGAACU